CAGGAUCAGAGAAAAAAGCAAAGCUCCUUCCUUCGGAAAUAGAUUCAAGAUCGCUCAAUCUACCAGUUCAGGAGUGCCACACAAAAGAGGCACGAAAGGCGUGCAAAGAUAAAAAAAGGCGAAGAUUUGAGGAUGCAAUGGAGGUGGCCCAGGGAUGAGGAGGUGCUAGGAGGAGGACAUGCAAGUGACUCGGAACAACGUAACGAGGAUAACGUACAGGAUUGUCUGGGCAGACGGGCGUGCCAGCUGGUAGGGCAAAGCCCGCCUAGUCCCUCGGUCAAGGGACGACGCCCCGCCAUUGG